UUCCUUAAAGUAUUUUUGUGUUUUGUAUCAGCCUGGUUGAUGCUGGGUUGAAUUAUGGGUUUUUUUUUACUUUUUACUGUAAGCAGUGGGGUAAAAAUGUGGGAAUCUAGGAGAAGUGGAGAAGAGAGGUAAAGAAGCUGGUCAGUUAAUGGCAUCCGUGGGUUGCGUUCAGGAGCAGAGAUGAUCCUCUUGGUCUUCGUUACUUGAAGUAUGGUCCAGGACCCAAUAGCUUGUUCGAAAUGCAGACUCUCAUCCCAACUCCAGACCUGCCCAGUUAGAAUCUGAACUUUAACCAGAUCACCAGGUGACUCGAGGGCAUCUUACAUGUCCAGAAGCACUGGUCAGGUGACUGACUUCAGCGAACAUAGGCUGAGUUGCUAUUUUCGCUCGCUUUGCAGAGGUGGAGUUGACCCGCAAUGCUGUCUGUAAACCUGAAGUUCUGUACUCUAAUGAAGAUGGCGGCUGCUCAGGAGGGGUUGCCAUGGGAUUUAGAAAGGCUAAGGCCCCAGCAAUCUGUCCAGCCAGACUCAGAGGAAAUCACAUCGAAACAGUAGAGACUUGGCAAGCAGCCAGCAUUAUCACACUAGCUUCUUUUUCUUUCUUUUUCUCUUUUUGUCCAGACCUGUGUCUAAUGCCCAUGUAUGCCUUCACUACAGCUCCAGUCUGGGCAUGAGCGGAACACGAUUGGAUGAUGUCAAAAGAGCAAAUGCUGAAAGAUAAAUAACUGGGAAUACAACUUCAGUCAAAGAGAAUAGAACCUACUCUUUCCUUUAAUCACCCUCCUCAUCUAUCUGGAGUCCUCUGGCCUGGAAAUAACAGUAAGGAAUGGGUUCUUGCUUUGCCUGUGAAAAACAAGACACCGUGGGACUGGCACAGCCCAGGCCCAGGCCCACCCACCCUGGCCUCUGGGUUGUGGGCUGCAGACAAACAGAGAAAGAGUGCCCCUGGCUCGCUCCUGGCCCUGUGCUUCCUAACGUGGAGGCUGCCACUGCAUCGUGGGAUCUGGCUUUCUGGUUUGAUUGGAGAAACCGGAGCAUGUUUAUACCCUAAAGGAAACGUGCCAGCAGAGCGGACAGCUUAAAGAUUCACACAAUAGACAGGGAAGCCACACAGACAUCCACCUACUAACAGAACGCAGCAUUUUUCUGUGCGGUCGCAAGUGCAGAAAUGUGUUUUUCCUCCCCCAAAUCUAGCAUCAGAAAGUUGGCCACAGCAUCUGUUUGAGGAGGCUGGCAGCUCUGUUUUGAGUGAGUCAGACAGGACAGCAGUAAGAGUUGGGACUCUGCGGCUGUUCUGUAGAGCCGCGUAGAGCCAGUGGACUUGCUGCUUUGUCCUUCUGGCUUGAAACAAAGUUAGAUCUCAGCACCCAGCACGGGGAGUUAGAACCAGAAGUCAAGUGCGUCUGUGCCUCUAGAAUGGAAAGGGAUUCUCGGCUGUGAGCGCUUCUCAGUUCUUUCGUGGGUUCUCCCAGAGGAACGCAGGGUGAAUACUAGGCUAAGACGACUUUCCAUUAACGCUCUCUGACACUUACACACACGCACACACAGGCACACACACUCUAAACAAGAAUCAAAUGAAAUAGAAAGACUGUACAAUUCUUGCUUUUUUUUUAAACAGCUCAUUACAAGAAACUGAAUAUAGUUCCCUGUGCUAUACAGUAGGUCCUUGUUUUCUUUUUUUUUCCUAAAUUAUAACCAAAAGAUAUUUUGCUGUUUCUUUAUAUAUGAACAUCUUUUCUGCAAACGUCUUUGCCUGGUUCCAUCUUCCCUAGUAAAAAAAUAAAUAUUUUU